UCACACUAAACAAGAAAAGAUACAGAGUGUAUUUUGGAGCCUCUGUCUCUGCCGGAAAGUCCAGAUGGUGGUGCUGCUGUAGAAAGUUGUCCCUAUGUGCCAUGUAUUUUCUGUGAAGAAUGCUAUCUCUUAGCUGAACAAAACCAGCUCCUGAAGCACAUGAUUAUUGAACACAAGCUUGUCAUAGCAGAUAUGAAACUGGUUGCAGAUUUUAGAAGAUACAUCUUGUACUGGAAGAAAAGGUUUGCAGAACAGCCCAUCACAGACUUUUGUAGUGUGAUAAAAACAAAUUCAGAAGCACCAUUAGAAGAGCAGGAAAAUUAUUUUCUUCUAUGUGAUGUUUUACCAGAAGACAGAUUACUUAGAGAACAGCUUCAGCAAAAGAGACUGAGAGAAAUUUUAGAACAACAACAGCGAGAGAGAUAUGACAUAAGUUUUCGUAGUAUGUGUAUGUUCUGUGAUCAAGAAUUCACAGGAAACAGAUCUGUCCUUCUGAAUCAUAUGGCAAGAGAGCAUGCUUUUAAUAUUGGGCUGCCAGACAACAUUGUGAAUUGCUGUGAGUUCUUGGCUGUAUUGCAGGAAAAACUUGACAAUUUGCAGUGUUUAUACUGUGAAAAAGUCUUCAGAGACAAAAACACACUUAAAGAUCACAUGAGAAAGAAACAGCAUCGCAGAAUCAAUGCCAAAAACAAAGAAUAUGACAAAUUUUAUAUCAUUAAUUACUUGGAAUUUGGAAAGUCCUGGGAGGAAGUGCAGUCAGAGGAUGACCGGGAAUUACUGGAUAACCUAGAAGAAGACUGGUCUGAUUGGGAAGAGCAUCCUGUGUGUGCAGUUUGCCUGUUCUGUGAACAACAAGCAGACACCACAGAAAAAUUGUAUCUUCACAUGCAGAAAUCACAUGGAUUUGACUUUCCUAAAAUAAAGUCAGAGCAUGGUUUGAACUUUUAUCAGCAAGUAAAGCUAGUGAACUUCAUCAGAAGAGAAAUUCAUCACUGUCGUUGUUACAACUGCCAGAAGAAAUUUCAGUCUAAAGGAGAAUUGAUAAGUCAUAUGGAAAAGACCAAACACAUUACACUCCUGCCAGCCAGGUCUACAUGGGAUCAACCACAGUAUUAUUUUCCUACCUAUGAAAAUGAUACGCUCCUGUGUACACUGUCAGACAGUGAAGAUCUGAUAACUGAGGAUCAAAGGGAAGAUAUUCCUGUUCUGAUACUUGGAUGAGAUUCUCUUCUCAAAAGUUACUGCAAUGGUACCUUUGUCCAUAUUCUCAUCUUAACCAGAGGUCUGAGUUUUCUAACUUGCACAGAACCACUCAGACAAAUAGGCUACAUUUCAGAAAACAAUGGGGAUCCAUUAAAGAAUCUUUAUUAAAAGAACCCCUGAUAUUCUCCCUAUGGCCCCUGUUUUAUUUGGACUGGAAAAAAAAUCUUUUGGAGAUUUUCACCAGAUGGCUGCUUACACCUGCAGCAGUCCUAGAGUGCUCUCAAUGAGCUUUCUACCUCAAAGUGUAGUAGAGAGGCAGGUGAAAGCAGCAUGUCCAGCCUGUGGCAGGAUGCUGGGAUCCAUGCUGCAAUGGAACAGCAUGGACUAUUUCCCCACUGAUGCUGGACUGUCCCCAGUGACCUUUAAAGACCAAGGAGAUGGAGUUCUGCUGCUUGCUGGUAGACUCUGGUGCCACUGGGAAAAUUGUCUAAUUGCCCCUAAUGACUGGUUUGAAACCAGCUAGAUAGGAUUCCAAUCAAUACCUAAAAUGAAUGUCAGCAUCCUGCCAGGCAAGGAUUUUCUGCUAUUUAGUUUUGUUUCCAUCUGAAAAAAGAACUCCUUAACACAUUUGACAGUGUUUAUCUACUAAAUUUCUUUUGAGCUUUGUGCUGAUUAAAAAUAGUAGAGUCAUAGACUCUCCCUCUCUUGUUCCUGGUGGUUUAUUCUUCAUCUUUUCUUCUGCCAAUAUCCCUCCCAUUACACCUAGCCACACCCCACUCCUUGGUCACGUCUACCUUGCAGGCUCACAGGAGUCAUACACAGAGUAAGAUCAGACUCUGGUUUUCCUCCCAUGGGAUGACAAAGUCCAAUAAUACUGCAGUGGCAGCU